UUACCUUGACUUCUCUUCAAGUCUCGUAUAAAUCUUUCGCCUUUUACUAAAGAUUUCCGUGGAGAGGAGUCAAUAAUAGGUCUAUAAGAAUUUUUUGAAGGUUCGUCUAUCCUUUCGAGGU